CAUUAAGGGGCUUCGGUCAGAGCAGUCUGCGGCAGCUGCAGGGCCAGGCAGAAGUGUUUCAUUUGCGUCAGUUUGCAGCGGAGCCUGACGGGGCUGUGCUCAGGGUACUUUUAACUCUGCGUGACUGGCAGGUGCAUGAUGUCACAAUGAGGAGCUUCAAGCAGGGUUUUAGCCUGCCAACAACAAUGCAAGAUGAAAGUUGACUGGCCCCUUUAAACAGGAAAUGAUUGAUGUGUUAAGACAAGAAGAAGAGUUCUUAUGCAGCGCAGUCAUUGCACAAAGGAAGUAGUAAAUGCCUCCUCACCAGUACCACAAAAGGAUGCAUGAAGGUGUUCAUGAAGAUGUUAGCUGAAGUCCUACCUGCCUGUGUCACUAACAGGAUAUGAAUCAAUGUGUUCGUUUCCACUGAGAGGGGCCUGAAGAUCUGGAAGACAGUAAGGAAAGAGGGAGGCUACUGGCUGAUUGAUUUGUUUAAGGAAACCACGUCCCUGAGUGUGCAGGACAGUUGUUGAUAGGGUAUCUUAGUUGUUCAUUUAUAGGAUCACAAUAAGUCAAAUCAUUCUGGACAUAGAAAUAGCAACAAAUCAAUGCGCAGUGAAAUAUCACAUUUUGUCACAUCAGUGAUUUGGUGAGCUCAGUUGUUAAUCUCUGGGUCUCCAGAUGUUGAAUUGCACCCUGGAAUCUCACACUGAUGUCCAUACUUGCUAGGGCUUCUGGAAAUUGAAGUUCAGCAACCUCCUUGGGUCCAUGGUUGGGAACCAGUGAUUAUGCUUAUUAUGGACUGAUUUGAUGGGCAGUGGUUCUGCUGAGUCUUAGACUUUUCUUUCCAUAUGUCUGAUUCUUUAAAAUUGACCAGUGCCAGGGAUGGAUCAUCUGAAAUGCAGAGUAUGUGCUCUGCUGCAGAUAUGAACCCUUCUGAACAGCGCAAUAUGGUUCACAAGAAACAUAUAAAUGUUGGCUUUUCUCCAGUAAUUGCCUUCAUCUUGCUCUUUAAUUAAAAUCAAUGCUUUGUGUAUUUACUUCAUUUUUACCCGGUCUUUCUCACCCUGCAAGGGACUCAAGGCAGCUUACAAACUCCAGCAAAAUUCAGUGCCGGGUGGACAAAACAAUAAAACACACCAUCAAAUUAUAAAGCAGUUAAACAUAUGAACAAUUAAAACACAUAAACAAUAAAACAGAUUAAAA